GUGGGGAAUUUUGGACAAUGGGCGCAAGCCUGAUCCAGCAAUGCCGCGUGCAGGAAGAAGGCCUUCGGGUUGUAAACUGCUUUUGUACGGAACGAAACGGUCCUGGUUAAUACCCGGGGCUAAUGACGGUACCGUAAGAAUAAGCACCGGCUAACUACGUGCCAGCAGCCGCGGUAAUACGUAGGGUGCAAGCGUUACUCGGAAUUACUGGGCGUAAAGCGUGCGCAGGCGGUGCUGUAAGACAGGCGUGAAAUCCCCGGGCUUAACCUGGGAAUUGCGCUUGUGACUGCAGUGCUGGAGUGCGGCAGAGGGGGAUGGAAUUCCGCGUGUAGCAGUGAAAUGCGUAGAUAUGCGGAGGAACACCGAUGGCGAAGGCAAUCCCCUGGGCCUGCACUGACGCUCAUGCACGAAAGCGUGGGGAGCAAACAGGAUUAGAAACCCCAGUAGUCC
rnacentral:rRNA from 1 species